UCUGCGAUUUCCGAAUGGGGAAACCCAACUGCAUAAGCAGUUACUGUUAACUGAAUACAUAGGUUAACAGAGCAAACCGGGGGAACUGAAACAUCUAAGUACCCCGAGGAGAAGAAAUCAACCGAGAUUCCGGUAGUAGCGGCGAGCGAACCUGGAUUAGCCCUUAAGCACUCGGUGAAGUAGGUGAACAAGCUGGAAAGCUUGGCGAUACAGGGUGAUAGCCCCGUAACCGACGCUUCAUCGAGCGUGAAAUCGAGUAGGGCGGGACACGUGAUAUCCUGUCUGAAUAUGGGGGGACCAUCCUCCAAGGCUAAAUACUCCUGACUGACCGAUAGUGAACCAGUACCGUGAGGGAAAGGCGAAAAGAACCCCUGUGAGGGGAGUGAAAUAGAACCUGAAACCGUGUACGUACAAGCAGUAGGAGCACCUUCGUGGUGUGACUGCGUACCUUUUGUAUAAUGGGUCAGCGACUUAUAUUCAGUGGCAAGGUUAACCGUAUAGGGGAGCCGUAGCGAAAGCGAGUCUUAACUGGGCGCUCAGUCUCUGGAUAUAGACCCGAAACCGGGUGAUCUAGCCAUGGGCAGGUUGAAGGUUGAGUAACAUCAACUGGAGGACCGAACCGACUAAUGUUGAAAAAUUAGCGGAUGACUUGUGGCUAGGGGUGAAAGGCCAAUCAAACUCGGAGAUAGCUGGUUCUCCCCGAAAGCUAUUUAGGUAGCGCCUCGGACGAAUACUACUGGGGGUAGAGCACUGUUAAGGCUAGGGGGUCAUCCCGACUUACCAACCCUUUGCAAACUCCGAAUACCAGUAAGUACUAUCCGGGAGACACACGGCGGGUGCUAACGUCCGUCGUGGAGAGGGAAACAACCCAGACCGCCAGCUAAGGUCCCAAAGUAUUGCUAAGUGGGAAACGAUGUGGGAAGGCUCAGACAGCUAGGAUGUUGGCUUAGAAGCAGCCAUCAUUUAAAGAAAGCGUAAUAGCUCACUAGUCGAGUCGGCCUGCGCGGAAGAUGUAACGGGGCUAAGCAAUACACCGAAGCUGCGGCAAUAUCUUUUAGAUAUUGGGUAGGGGAGCGUUCUGUAAGCCGUUGAAGGUGAAUCGUAAGGUUUGCUGGAGGUAUCAGAAGUGCGAAUGCUGACAUGAGUAACGACAAAGGGGGUGAAAAACCUCCUCGCCGGAAGACCAAGGGUUCCUGUCCAACGUUAAUCGGGGCAGGGUGAGUCGACCCCUAAGGUGAGGCCGAAAGGCGUAAUCGAUGGGAAACGGGUUAAUAUUCCCGUACUUCUGACUAUUGCGAUGGGGGGACGGAGAAGGCUAGGUGGGCCAGGCGACGGUUGUCCUGGUUCAAGUGCGUAGGCUUGAGAGUUAGGUAAAUCCGGCUCUCUCUAAGGCUGAGACACGACGUCGAGCUGCUACGGCAGUGAAGUCAUUGAUGCCAUGCUUCCAGGAAAAGCCUCUAAGCUUCAGAUAGUCAGGAAUCGUACCCCAAACCGACACAGGUGGUCGGGUAGAGAAUACCAAGGCGCUUGAGAGAACUCGGGUGAAGGAACUAGGCAAAAUGGUACCGUAACUUCGGGAGAAGGUACGCUCUUGAUGGUGAAGUCCCUCGCGGAUGGAGCUGACGAGAGUCGCAGAUACCAGGUGGCUGCAACUGUUUAUUAAAAACACAGCACUGUGCAAAAUCGCAAGAUGACGUAUACGGUGUGACGCCUGCCCGGUGCCGGAAGGUUAAUUGAUGGGGUUAGCGCAAGCGAAGCUCUUGAUCGAAGCCCCGGUAAACGGCGGCCGUAACUAUAACGGUCCUAAGGUAGCGAAAUUCCUUGUCGGGUAAGUUCCGACCUGCACGAAUGGCGUAAUGAUGGCCACGCUGUCUCCACCCGAGACUCAGUGAAAUUGAAAUCGCUGUGAAGAUGCAGUGUACCCGCGGCUAGACGGAAAGACCCCGUGAACCUUUACUACAGCUUGGCACUGAACAUUGAACCUACAUGUGUAGGAUAGGUGGGAGGCUAUGAAGACGUGACGCCAGUUGCGUUGGAGCCGUCCUUGAAAUACCACCCUUGUAUGU
rnacentral:rRNA from 1 species